UUUGUACAGAGAUAAGAGUUUGCAAUAGUGAAUUUCUAAAGAGGGCUAAUGAGGGGCUUCGUCAGCGAAUAGUUUAAAUAGCUCUAACUCUCCAUGAUACAGACAGUCGUACGUUGAAUUUUGUAACGUUCACAGCCAAGACAAACUAAAGCAUAAAAAUAAACAUGGAUUUCUACUACUUGCCCGGUUCCGCUCCCUGCCGCUCAGUCUUGAUGACUGCUAAAGCUCUUGGCAUUGAGCUUAACAAGAAAUUGUUAAACUUGCAAGCUGGCGAACACUUGAAACCUGAAUUCUUGAAGAUCAAUCCCCAGCACACCAUUCCCACUUUGGUCGAUGGUGAUUUCGCCUUGUGGGAAUCUCGUGCCAUUAUGGUUUACUUGGUUGAGAAGUACGGUAAGAACGACUCCUUGUUCCCCAAGUGCCCCAAGAAGCGCGCCGUCAUCAACCAACGUUUGUACUUCGAUAUGGGUACCCUCUACAAGAGCUUCGCUGACUACUACUACCCACAAAUCUUCGCCAAGGCUCCCGCUGAUCCUGAGUUGUACAAGAAAAUGGAAGCUGCCUUCGAUUUCUUGAACACCUUCUUGGAAGGUCACCAAUACGUUGCUGGUGAUUCCUUGACCGUUGCCGAUUUGGCUUUGUUGGCCAGUGUCAGCACCUUUGAAGUUGCCGGUUUCGAUUUCAGCAAAUAUGCCAAUGUUGCCAAGUGGUACGCUAAUGCUAAGACUGUUGCUCCCGGUUUCGAUGAAAACUGGGAAGGUUGCUUGGAAUUCAAGAAAUUCUUCAACUAAAUUAUAAUCACCAUGGAUUUCUAUUAUCUACCCCUUUCUGCUCCCUGCCGUUCCAUUCUCAUGACUGCCAAAGCUCUUGGCAUUGAGUUGAACAAAAAAUAUUUAGAUUUAUUUGCCGGUGAACAUUUAAAACCAGAAUUCUUAAAAAUCAAUCCUCAACACACAAUUCCUACAUUGGUUGAUGGCGAUUUUGCCUUGUGGGAAUCUCGUGCCAUUUGCAUCUAUUUGGUUGAGAAAUAUGGCAAAGAUGAUUCUUUAUAUCCCAAGUGCCCUAAAAAACAGGCAGUAGUCAAUCAACGUUUAUACUUUGAUAUGGGUACUAUGUACGCCUCUUUCGCCAACUACUACUAUCCUCAGGUGAAGCAAAAUUUGCCAGCCGAUCCCGAAAUGUUUGCCAAAAUUGAGGUGGCUUUUGAUUUCUUGAAUACUUUCUUGGAGGGUCAGACAUAUGUUGCCGGCGAUUCUGUGACUAUCGCUGAUUUUGCUCUAUUGGCCACUAUUAGUACUUUUGAUGUGGCCGGUUUUGAUUUUAGUAAAUAUGCUAAUGUUAAGAGAUGGUAUGAACAUUGCAAGACCAGCGUUGCCGGUUUUGAAGAGAAUUGGGAAGGUUGUUUGGAAUUGAAGAAAUGGUUUAAUAAGGAAUAAGUUUUUUUUUACUAGUUUGUAAAUGUAUGUAUACUGAUUAUUUAUAAAAACAAAAUAAAUUUUAGUGCACUAAUCGCUAUUGUAAAUAUA